rnacentral:tRNA from 1 species
GGAGUCGCGGUGUAGGCAGUGCACCCCCUCGGAGAGAGGGAGGAGUGGGUUCGAUUCCCACCGGCUCACU